rnacentral:lncRNA from 1 species
AGAGCUGUGGUACAGUUGGUAUUUCUGGUAUUCAGUUUUUAGUUUUUUUUCCUUUAUUUUCGUUGUUAUUUGUUCUAUUUUUUCGUUUAUUUUCUUUUUACUUUUACUAGUGAUCAGUUUUAUGUGAAUACCAAGUUUGAUACUGGAUUGCUGUUUCUAAUUCUGCUAUUGCCAAGUUUUAGUAAUAAAAGGAUAUCAAGUUGAUGUAGUUGAGUUCAGGAACAUCUCUUUGGUGAAUAUCAAUACUUGCUUGACUUUUCCAAUUUUUGGUUAACUCUUCUAGGCAUAGGGAAUGAUUGUUGGCAUUCUUCAUGUGAAUUGGUCCAAUUAUUAAUUUUAGUUCUUCAUGUUUGGAAUUUGAGGCUGGCUGCUGUUAUUUUUAGUUGUUGUGUUAUAUGAUUGUAAAUAAGAGUUGACUGUACUCCGCUAGUAGUUACUACUGAGUAACCGGGG